GACUUCAGUGAAACCUCUUUCAUUUCUGUCUUUCUGAAUAACAAGUUCCCAUCUUUUUAGACUAUCCUUAUAUGAUAUGAUCCUUAUAUCUUUUGCUACUGAUACUUUCUGUUACCCUUCUCAUUUCCCAGUUUUUUCUUCUUUUUCAGGAUUCUUAUAUCAUUCCUCACACACAGUGAUAAGGCAUUUGUACAAUACCUUUCUGUAUUGGACACUGCAAAGAAUAUCAGGGUCCUUUAUUUGUAACUUAGUAGAUGCCAACUUAUGUUCUUCUUUAUCUUUAGCAGCCAAUACAUCAAUAUCAGCUAAUAUUUAAUAGUUUCCUGGCAGGGCCUCAGCUUCACUUCAAAGUUGAUUUUCCCCAGUGAGAGUACAGCUGGAAGAAUCCAGAAGUGCACUAUGCCACAAUCCACUACCCCAGGCUGUGAAGGCCCAGCUCUUGGGCAAAGCUCUAGGUGACCCACCCUUCAGAUGUCACACAAAUAAAUGCCAAGAAAACAUAUUAUGAAGAGAGGCACUGGAGGCAGAAGUGGAGGAAAGAAAACAGAAUAUCAUCUUUGGAGACCUAGGAUCUCUUAAGACAAGUACAGACUGAGCUCUCCUUAAACUCCAAGACAGUA